UGGCUACUUUCUGAUGGAAUUAUUACCUACUGAUCCGAAGAAAGCUACGAUAUGCCUUUAUUAAAAAAAAUGGUCAAUUGCAUUUUGAUUCCUUAUUUGUUUAAAGAUAAUGGACGUUAAUUAAUAUUUGGACUAUUUUUCCGCAUACAUCGCAUAAUAUUCCAUAAUGUUGUAAGUAUUAAGUUUUACAAGACUAUUCAAAAAAUUGUUAUUUGUUUUAUUCUUUGAUCAAUAUGAGUCACCUAAUUUUCACGGGGGAAGGGAGAAAUAAUACUUGUUUAUUACCGGCUCAAAUUAAAACAUUAAGUUAGAAUUAUUCUACUCCUGUUUCAUGUUAUAGAUAGUGAACAGAACACUGCGAACCUUUUAAUUUUAGGUAGUCAUGAACUCGUGACAUAUUCUUUUUCAAUUUAUCCCCCUCUCCUGCAUAUACCAGACGGGCGCCUUAUAUCAAGUCAAUCCACCAUAUAGUGCAACUAAUAAAGCUAAAGAAUUUGUUCAAUUGCGUUUUGUGCGAACACGAUUGCGUUUGUGUACUUAGUGACAUUUACAGUGUUGCGCCUUUUACUGGAUAACAUGGUUUCCAAAAUUACGGAAAUAUUUCUGAAUCAGCCAUCUGAGGAGCAGGUAUUUCUGCUGCAUCUCCAAGUGGACGAUGAUACGGUAGAGCCCAAUUUCGAAAGCGAAGAAGAUCUCGAUUCGGCAAUUACCUCAUUUACCGUACCUCGUGGCGGAUUAUAUUUGCUAAUAAUCGCAUGCGUUUGCUGUACCGAAGAAGAAGUAAGAAGCAAAACUCAUUAUGUUUUUAUAAAUAAGGAGUUGCGGGUAAUAGUGAAAAGUGCUAACGUCAGGUCUUAUCGUAUCAUAUUCGGUACUCAUGAUAAUGUCUGGAAUUAUAUGCAAACCCAUUUGGCUGAGUUUUCAGGCGACGAUUUGGCGGCUUAAUUAUUUGGUUAUGUUUUAAAUAUCACUUAAAUUAUGUGAUCGUAUACCUAACUGAUUUGCCUUCUUCAAAUUGGUUAUAAAUAAAGCCCUUGCGAUUGGAAUUGUCUUUUUGUAUUUGUAUUAAAUAGCAAGCAAGAGUAGAGCAAACGCAACUUGUGUUAUUAAUCAGCUCCGUUUCGUAAGCGUAACGUAUUGGAUAUACAGGGUGUUCCUAAAUAUGAUGUAAAUACGGAAGGGGCUACUUAGGUCCCCAAAGGCUUCGUUACUGAUCAAGUUUUUUCUUUAUCUCUUGAAGUUUUUGAGAUACUUUAUCUGUUCUUCCCCCUAUACCCCUAGAAACAUAAAGCAUAUAUCUACACGUAGAUUCUACUAAAUAAAACAAUUAGCAGAGUUCGAUUUUGAUUGUAAACAAUCACACAUCUACUAAGUAACUACCUACCAACAAAGGAAAAAACAAAACAAAAAUUGUUAUGUUAAAUUUCGCUCUUUGAUUAAUAAUUUUUUAAUUUUCCGUUUAAAGGCCUCUUCGGACAGAUGCAGUAACUGUCUGUAAACCGAAUUAUUACAGAAUUUGCAGAUGUUAAAUGAAAAAGAACGUUGAAACAUUGCUAAAUUGUGCAUCGGGAUGGAAGCUAAACCCAUGUGCCAUGUGCCAACCAAGUCGAGGUAAGGUGUGCGAAAUUCUGUUAUAUUUCCUGAUACCGAACACGAAACGUAAGCAUGGGUACUUGCUGAAUUCUGUCACGGUGAUGAUCAUUGGAAUCGUUUCAGAGUCUUCAGCUUAGAAAAACCAUACUACAUUCAUAGAACUGUUUGUUAGAAUAUUAUAUAUAAAAUCUUUAGAACCUUCAGAAUCGGCACAAUUCGAAAACAUUCAGAACCAUUAGAAAUUUAGAACUUUAAAAUACUUAUUGAUAAUCUUUUACAGGGUGUUUAAGGUCUUGUCAUUUUAUUUUUAAGAGGUGAUUAAACACAUUAAAAGAAGGCGAUUCGCAGUAAAACACCUUAAUAGAAGUAGAAUAAUAAAUCAACAACCGGCCGUCUACUACUAUAAGUAAUGUUGAUCGAGACUUUGUGUUCAACACUUUGAACAACUGCUGUAAAAUUACGUUUAUUAUUAAUUAUCUGUGGUGGCACAACAAUAAUCUUUAUUUUUACCACCCGCACGUUAGUAAGAUAUUAAAAGAUGAUCACCACCUUUUCAAUCAAACGUUUUGAAGUACCAGGAAUCCGAAUCAGACAAAAUCUCGUUGAUGGCGGUCUGUCGGUCUCAUUUCCAACUAAACGGCUGAACCGAUUGGGACCAAAUUUGGUAACAUUUAGAUAUAAGCAAAAAAGCUGAAAAGCUUUUGGGCAAAACGCGCAUGGGCAGGUGUGCAGGCGGUAUCUGUGAUAGCUAUAGCAAAUUGUUUUACUUUCUUGUGCCACAUAAAUAAAAAAAGAUAAAAUAAAAUUUAAAUCACAAGCCCGUAAACACCGUGUAUGGAGUAUUUAGAACUGCUGUAGUUUUGUUAGGAUCUAAGGACGGUGUUUGAUUUUUUUUCAAAUUCUCUUAGAAUAUUCUAGAAAUUUAAGGAUUUUUAGAAUCCGUAUCCUAUCUGAUUAAAAAAAAUUAUAUUCCAAAAAAUUAGGCGACUUAACGAAAAUGCAAAGUUGCACAAUAAGAUUCAACCACAUGCUUAAUUUAGUACGUCUUGUCCGGUCUUGCCUUUCAAUGUCUUCGAAGUCCAACGGGGUACUCCCCAAUCUAACUAUAGCAAGCCAAACCAUCGCGACGGUUACAAGCGAUCAAUUUUCUGACUAAAGGAAAGGAAGAAAAUGACAGCGGUGAGAAGGGAGGUCCACUAACGCCGCCAUUUAAGGUGGCGGAGAGAUGCCAUCCCCCCAAGAAAAUGCCAAACCUGAAACUGAAGCACCACCCCCCAGAAUGUUAGGCUACGAUCUGACAAGACGCUAUAGCGCAAUGGGCGAUGAGGUUGCGAUGUGAUGCAAUUAAUCGCAAGCAAUUUCUAAGGACAUAUUUACGAAAAGAGUCGCAUGUUAGCCUCUGUUCUGUGUACAGCAAAAUGACGAAAUUUCGACGGCACAUCCUAGCGGAAAGUUCUUAUUAAAAUAUACUCUUUACUAGUUUCACCAGUCUCUCCACAGUGAAUUCAGUUGUUGACUGUUCUGUGGCACUGGUCCGAUAAGACAGAUCAUUCUAGAAGAUGCGCCAGUGACGGGCCCCAAAAGCGUAAGUCCAGAUCGGCCUUUGUCAGCAUCGUAUCUUGUGCUUAAUCUGCAUUGACUAUGAUCUUCACGUAGAAAACGAUUACAUUAAAUUUCA